UUCCUGGUGGCUUAUCAGUAAAGUGUCUGCCUGCAAUGCAGGAGACUCAGGUUCAAUCCAUGACUGGGGAA
rnacentral:tRNA from 1 species